rnacentral:rRNA from 1 species
GACGAACGCUGGCGGCGCGCCUAACACAUGCAAGUCGAACGGAGUUAUUUCAGCAGAAGCUUUCGGGUGGACGCAGGGAUAACUUAGUGGCGAACGGGUGAGUAACACGUGAGGAACCUGCCCUGGAGUGGGGGAUAACAGUUGGAAACGACUGCUAAUACCGCAUAAGACCACAAGGCCGCAUGACCAAGGGGUCAAAGGAGCAAUCCGGUAUAGGACGGGUUCGCGUCCCAUUAGCUAGUAGGCGGGGUAAAGGCCCACCUAGGCAACGAUGGGUAGCCGAGCUGAGAGGCUGAACGGCCACACUGGGACUGAGAUACGGCCCAG